GAGACCUCCAGUAUUUUGAUUAACAGCUGUGCCGUGUUACUGAUACAUACACACAGAGUGCAUGUUUUCUAAACUCGUCUCUUAUUCAAGCCUGUAAAUGCAGUUUGUUUUUUCAAACAAUCGAAUAACCUCAUAUCUAAUGAACCCUGCUUCCACUGUGUUUUGGUCAAGCAUUCUUCAUCUUCCUCCUCCUCAUCGAGUUCUGAUUCCUCCAGCAGCUCCUCCUCAGAGUCAGAUGACGAGGAUGAAAAGAAGACUGUAAAGAAGAAGCGGAAGAGAAAGAAGUCGUCAUCCAGAAGAGCAUCGGACAGCUCAGAGGAUGAGUCGGAUGCUGAAAGCAAGAAAAGGAAAAGAAUAAAGGAAGAAGGUGACAGAGAUAAGGAUGAAAAGAGCCGUAGAGGAAAGAGGAAGGCUGAGAGAAGUUAUAAAGGCUCAUCAUCAGAGUCGUCUGCUGACUCUGAUGAUGAUGAAGCAGUUGAAGCCAAGAAAAAAAAGAGAAGCAGCGAGGAAAAGGAGAAAUUCACAGAUAAAUCCAAGAAGAAGAGGAAAAGGAAGCACAAAAAACAUGGCAGAAAAAAGAAAAAGAAGACGGCGUCUCAGUCGGACUCGGACCUCGACUGAAAACAUGUCUUCCAUUUUUCUGACAGCUCAAAAGUAGAGUCAUCUUUGCCUUUGACUACCAAAAACUACUCGCAUCCAAUUUUUGGGGAUUUCCACCUAUACAGGGGAAGCAGCAGGCCUAAAUGCUCGGCUUCUAUGUGUGAAGUGAAAAUUGGGAAGAAAGUGCUGGUCCCUCUAAGUGGAAACAAAUAGUGCAUAUCUUUUUUGUUUUGUUUUACCACCAUGAUUUUUCUGCAUUAUUGGUCUGAAGUUCACUCAAAGACAGGACUGAACUCCCCCCCCCCCCCCCCCCCCCCCCCCCCCAUCUCUUUCUGGAGACUUGAGUGUGCCUGGCACUCCCCACCGCCUUCAGAACGCUAGCCCUCUAGGAGUUAGCCUCUGUGCUUCAUACCUGACAUCUUUCAUUGCUACACGAGGCUGUUGAUGCUAGUGCCUGCGUGAUGCAUGUAGACGUGAUGACCAGAUGUCUCGCCGGCUUCAUAUUGAAGUUGGCCAUUGUUGUAAGAAAUGAGCUGCACAGUCAUACAGUAAUACAAGGGAUAAUUGUUUUUGUUAGAUGAGUUGUUACACUGCAGUGUAGUUGUACAAACAAUGGAGUUCAAUAAUAAAGUAUUGUUUUAACCUUU